UCAAAGAGGAAGAGCGAUUUCUAUUGACAGUAAUUCCUAUCGAAACCACUGAUGAUGUAACAAAGAUGCUGGCACCAACAGUGUAUCCAACUGUUAUGAUCAGAGGAACGUCCAUUUUUGAUCCCAAUGCUCAGGUUGUAGUUGUUAUCGAGAACAGCGUUCUUAUCACAG